GACGAACGCUGGCGGCGUGCCUAACACAUGCAAGUCGAACGGGGGUAGCAAUACCUCAGUGGCGAACGGGUGCGUAACACGUGAAGAAUUUGUCUAACGGCGGGGGAUAGCCGGCCCAACGGCCGGGUAAUACCGCGUACGACCUCUGGAGGGCAUCCUCUGGCGGUGAAAGCCGCAAGGCGCCGAUAGAGAACUUCGCGGCCUAUCAGCUAGUUGGCGGGGUAAUGGCCCACCAAGGCGACGACGGGAGCUGGUCCGAGAGGAUGACCAGCCACAUUGGGACUGAGACACGGCCCAGACUCCUACGGGAGGCAGCAGUGGGGAAUAUUGCGCAAUGGGCGAAAGCCUGACGCAGCGACGCCGCGUGUGGGAUGACGGCC
rnacentral:rRNA from 1 species